CUGCGAAUAUUCUCACUGUUCUGACUUUGUAAUUAUCAGAGUAGGCUAUACAUUUGCUUUAUUAAGACCAUGCAUGCGUCCUUAGACCUAGUUCUUUCCCUAGGUCUGGUUUUAUAAAUGCUGGUGAUAAAC
ensembl:snoRNA SNORA72 Small nucleolar RNA SNORA72